GAGGGUAUAGCUCAAUGGUAGAGUGCAUGCUUAGCAUUCACGAGGUCCUGGGUUCGUUCAAUCCCCAGUACCUCUG
rnacentral:tRNA from 1 species